rnacentral:rRNA from 1 species
AGGUGAGUUCGUACGGUGGGCCAUAUCUUCUUCCGGCUGCCUGGGUACGCUGGACGUGCCGGCGGCGUUCUCGGUAUUCGUGGUGACGUUCGUACUGUGAAGCAUUACUGGCUGACUGGGUACCGGCCGAGGUGAGAGGUACUCCCUGCGUAGGAGUGAAAUCCUGUUUGCCUUGCGGGACCGCCUGUGGCGAAGGAGUCUCACCCAACCGACUCCGACUGAGAGGGACGAACGCUGGGGGAGCAAACCGGAUUAAAUACCCGGGUAGUCCCACCCGUAAACGAUGCACGUUAGGUGUAUCGGUGACCACGAGUCACCGAGGUGCCGAACAGAAAUCAUGAAACGAGCCGCCUGGCAAGUACGGUCGCCAGGCUGAAACUUACUUGAAUUGGCUGGGGAGCACCACCCCAGGUGGAGGCUGCUUGUUAAUCAGAUUCAUUCCCCGCAAGCUCACUUAAUAAGACAGCUGGAUGAUUGUCGGGCUGAAUACUCUACUUGACUGACUGACAGGAGGUGCAUGGCUGUCCUCCGUUCGUACUGUGAGGCAUACAUA